rnacentral:rRNA from 1 species
UCCGUUAGGUUAGUCUACAUGGAGGACGUUGCUCGGUCUCGUAGAGGGGGCAUGUGCACAGCUCUGUUUACACAUCCACUCACACCUGUGCACCCUCUGUAGUUCUGUGGCAUCGGGGACUCUGUCCUCUUGCUGUGGUCCUACGUCUUUACACACACACCGUAAUACAGUCCCAUGGAAUGUAUGUCGCGUUUAACGCAAUACAAUACAACUUUCAGCAACGGAUCUCUUGGCUCUCGCAUCGAUGAAGAACGCAGCGAAAUGCGAUAAGUAAUGUGAAUUGCAGAAUUCAGUGAAUCAUCGAAUCUUUGAACGCACCUUGCGCCCUUUGGCUAUUCCGAAGGGCAUGCCUGUUUGAGUAUCAUGAACACCUCAACUCUCAUGGCCUGCCAUGAUGAGCUUGGACUUUGGGGGUCUUGCCGGCCUAGCCGUCGGCUCCUCUCAAACAAAUCAGCUUGCCAGUGUUUGGUGGCAUCACAGGUGUGAUAACUAUCUACGCUUGUGGUUUUCCACCAGGUAACCUCCAGCAAUGGAGGUUCGCUGGAGCUCACAGACGUCUCUCCUCAGGGAGGACAGCUUUUUGAACGUUUGAUCUCAAAUCAGGUAGGACUACCCGCUGAACUUAAGCAUAUCAAUAAGCGGAGGAAAAGAAACUAACAAGGAUUCCCCUAGUAACUGCGAGUGAAGCGGGAAGAGCUCAAAUUUAAAAUCUGGCGUGCCUCUGGUCGUCCGAGUUGUAGUCUGGAGAAGCGUUUUCCGUGCUGGACCGUGUACAAAGUCUCCUGA